rnacentral:rRNA from 1 species
CCUACGGGUGGCUGCAGUGGGGAAUAUUGGACAAUGGGGGGAACCCUGAUCCAGCCAUGCCGCGUGUGUGAAGAAGGCCCUCGGGUUGUAAAGCACUUUCAGUGAGGAAGAACGCCUGGUGGUUAAUACCCAUCAGGAAAGACAUCACUCACAGAAGAAGCACCGGCUAACUCCGUGCCAGCAGCCGCGGUAAUACGGAGGGUGCGAGCGUUAAUCGGAAUUACUGGGCGUAAAGCGCGCGUAGGUGGCUUGAUAAGCCGGUUGUGAAAGCCCCGGGCUCAACCUGGGAACGGCAUCCGGAACUGUCAAGCUAGAGUGCAGGAGAGGAAGGUAGAAUUCCCGGUGUAGCGGUGAAAUGCGUACAGAUCGGGAGGAAUACCAGUGGCGAAGGCGGCCUUCUGGACUGACACUGACACUGAGGUGCGAAAGCGUGGGUAGCAAACAGGAUUAGAUACCCCGGUAGUC